AUGCCGCGUGAGUGAAGAAGGCCUCGGGUUGUAAAGCUCUUUCGGUGAAGACGAAACGGUUAGCGUUAAUAGCGCUGACUAAUGACGGUACUCACAGAAGAAGCACCGGCUAACUACGUGCCAGCAGCCGCGGUAAUACGUAGGGUGCAGGCGUUAAUCGGAAUUACUGGGCGUAAAGCGUGCGCAGGCGGUUUGCUAAGACAGGUGUGAAAUCCCCGGGCUUAACCUGGGAAUUGCGCUUGUAACUGGCAAGCUAGAGUGUGGCAGAGGGGGGUGGAAUUCCACGUGUAGCAGUGAAAUGCGUAGAUAUGUGGAGGAACACCGAUGGCGAAGGCAGCCCCCUGGGUUAACACUGACGCUCAGGCACGAAAGCGUGGGGAGCAAACAGGAUUAGAUACCCUGGUAGUCCACGCCCUAAACUAUGUCAACUAGUUGUCCGGGGAAGAAAUUCCUUGGUAACGAAGCUAACGCGUGAAGUUGACCGCCUGGGGAGUACGGGCGCGAGGUUAAAACUCAAAGGAAUUGACGGGGACCCGCACAAACGGUGGAUUAUGUGGAUUAAAUCGAUGCNACGCGAAAAAACUU
rnacentral:rRNA from 1 species